rnacentral:rRNA from 1 species
AGCAUAUGCUUGACUUGGAGAUUAAGCCAUGCAUGUCUAAGUAUAAGUAAUAUAUUGCGAAACUGCGAAUGGCUCAUUAAAACAGUUAUAAUUUAUUUGGUGAUAUAUUUACAUGGAUAACCAUGAGAAAUCUUGGCUAAUACAUGCAUAAAGACCUUCUCGGGUUGUAUUUAUUAGUUUUAACCAACAUAUUGUGAGGAAUCAUAAUAACUAACCGAAGCGCAUCGCUGCGCUACACCAUUCAAGUUUCUGCCCUAUCAGCUUUCGAUGGUAGUGUAUUGGACUACCAUGGCAAUAACGGGUAACGGAGAAUUGGGGUUCGAUUCCGGAGAGGGAGCCUGAGAAACGGCUACCAUUUCUAAGGAAGGCAGCAGGCGCGUAAAUUACCCAAUCCUGACUAAGGGAGGUAGUUAAUGGAAAUAAUGCAUUCGGCUCUAUGAGCUCUGAAUAUGUAAUGAGUUGAACUUAAUCUACUCUUUGAAUCCUAUUAGAGGGCAAGUCUGGUGCCAGCAGCCGCGGUAAUUCCAGCUCUAAUAGCGUAUAUUAACGUUGUUGCAGUUAAAAAGCUCGUAGUUGAAAUUCCGGCGAUUCGUCGCCUGUCAGGGACUACGGGGGAUAAUGUCAAAAUUUUCUCCCGUGCGAACUGACUUUUACUGUGAACAAAUUAAAGUGCUUAAAGCAAGCUAUCGCUUGAAUAUUUUAGCAUGGAAUAAUAAAAUACGACUUUAUUCAUUUUAUUGGUUAUUGGAUAAAGUAAUGAUUAACAGAAACAGUUGGGGGCAUUCGUAUUUGAUAGUCAGAGGUGAAAUUCUUAGAUUUAUCAAAGACGAUCUAAUGCGAAAGCAUUUGCCAAGGAUGUUUUCAUUAAUCAAGAACGAAAGUUAGGGUAUCGAAGACGAUCAGAUACCGUCGUAGUCCUAACCAUAAACUAUACCGACUAGGGAUUGGUAGGGUAUAACUCUAUCAGCACCUAAUGAGAAAUCAAAGUCUUUGGGUUCUUGGGGGAGUAUGGUCGCAAGGCUGAAACUUAAAGGAAUAGACGGAAGCGCACUACCAGGAGUGGAGUCUGCGGCUUAAUUUGAUUCAACACGGGGAAACUUACCAGGGCAACAUGUCGAUAGGAUUGACAGAUUGAUAGCUUUUUCUUGAUCCGAUACUUUGUGGUGCAUGGCCGUUCUUAGUUGGUGGAGUGAUUUGUCAGGUUAAUUCCCUUAACGAACGAGACCUUAACCUGCUAAAUAGGAGUCUCUAAACUCUAGAGAUAUCCUUCUUAGAGGGACUACUGAAUCCAAAUCAGUGGAAGUUUGAGGCAAUAACAGGUCCGUGAUGCCCUUAGAUGUUCUGGGCCGCACGCGUACUACACUGAUGCAUGCAGUAAGUCAACCUAAUCCGAAAGGAGAUGGGUAAUCUUCGCAAAGUGCAUCGUGCUUGGGAUAGAUCUUUGCAAUUGUGGAUCUUGAACGAGGAAUUCCUAGUAAGCAUGGGUCAUCAACCCAUGUUGAUUACGUCCCUGCCCUUUGUACUCACCGCCUGCCGCUUCUACCGAUUCGAGUGGUUCGACGAAUUCUCCGGACUGGCCUAGCCAGGAAGUUGUGUAAGUCAUAUCACUUAGAGGAAGAAUAAGGCGUAACAAGGUAUCU